AGUGAACGCUGGCGGUAGGCCUAACACAUGCAAGUCGAACGGCAGCACAGGAGAGCUUGCUCUCUGGGUGGCGAGUGGCGGACGGGUGAGGAAUACAUCGGAAUCUACUCUGUCGUGGGGGAUAACGUAGGGAAACUUACGCUAAUACCGCAUACGACCUACGGGUGAAAGCAGGGGACCUUCGGGCCUUGCGCGAUUGAAUGAGCCGAUGUCGGAUUCGCUAGUUGGCGGGGUAAAGGCCCACCAAGGCGACGAUCCGUAGCUGUUCUGAGAGGAGGAUCAGCCACACUGGAACUGAGACACGGUCCAGACUCCUACGGGAGGCAGCAGUGGGGAAUAUUGGACAAUGGGCGCAAGCCUGAUCCAGCCAUACCGCGUGGGUGAAGAAGGCCUUCGGGUUGUAAAGCCCUUUUGUUGGGAAAGAAAUCCAGCUGGCUAAUACCCGGUUGGGAUGACGGUACCCAAAGAAUAAGCACCGGCUAACUUCGUGCCAGCCGCCGCCGUAA
rnacentral:rRNA from 1 species